AUAAAGGCACUUGUACUGUGAAACUGCGAAUGGCUCAUUAAAUCAGUUAUCGUUUAUAAAGAUUGUACGUUUACUACUUGGAUAACCGUGGUAAUUCUAGAGCUAAUACAUGCGAAAAGUCCCGACUUUUGGGAGGGGAGGUUUUAAUUAAAUUCAAACCCAUUGGGGUUUCUGCCCGGUCUGUGGGAGAUUCAUGGAAACUUUUCAAAUCACGUGCUUUUGGCGCUGGCGAUGUUUCAUUCAAUUUUCUGCCCUAUCAACUGACGAUGGUAAGGGUCUUGGCUUUACCAUGGCCACAACGGGUGACGGAAAAUUAGGGUUCGAUUCCGAAGAGGGAGCCUGAAAAACGGCUACCACAUCCAAGGAAGGCAGCAGGCGCGCAAAAAAUUACCCAAUCCUGACUCAGGGAGGUAGCGACAAGAAACAACAAUACAGGUGCUUUUCUAAGUCUUGUAAUUGGAAUGACUACAACUUAAAUCCUUUUUUAACGAAGAUCCAUGGUGGAGGGCAAGUCUGGCAACCAGCACCCGCGGUAAUUCCACCUCCAAUAACGUAAUAUUAAAGUUGGAGCAAAUAAAAACCUCAUAGUUGGAUUUCGGGGCGGCGCCGCCCCCCCGCCGCAAGGUGUGUCACUGGCCGCGCCGCCCUUCUUCGUCAAAGACUGCACGUGCUCUAAGACUGAGGGUGCGCAGGAAUUGCGACGUUUACUUUAGAAAAAAAUUACAGUGUUCAAAGCACGGCCAGCGCUUGAAUACAUAAGCAUGGAAUAAUGGAAUAGGACUUGGGUUCUAUUUUGUUGGUUUCUGGAACCGAAGUAAUGAUUAAGAGGGACAGUUGGGGGCAUUCGUAUUUCGUUGUCAGAGGUGAAAUUCUUGGAUUUACGAAAGACGAACUACUGCGAAAGCAUUUGCCAAGAAUGUUUUCAUUAAUCAAGAACGAAAGUUAGAGGCUCGAAGACGAUCAGAUACCGUCCUAGUUCUAACCAUAAACGAUGCCGACUAGGGAUCAUUAGUUGUGUUAUUGGAUGACCUCUUUGGCACCUUAGGGGAAACCUAAAGUUUUUUUGCGGGUUU
rnacentral:rRNA from 1 species